rnacentral:misc_RNA from 1 species
GUUUUGGUGCUUUUCAUCUAGUUUUCGUGAAGAUGGGUUUGGGUCCUGAUUCUGUAAAGGUGAAGAAUUUUGAAGAUAAAUCAAAGAGCAAGAAGAAGAAGGAAGAUGAGGGGAGUAGAAAAGAGAAGGAGAUUGGGUGUUGGGCUAAAUUCAGCUUGAUGGGAGGUUGCAUGCCUAAAAGAUCAAAAGUUGAUAGCUCUCUAAGCGGAAUCACUACUCAGUAUGUGCAAUCUAAAUCUACGGAUGAGAAGAGCACAGACCAACCAGUUGUUCCUGUGAUGUCCUUUACAACUAGUAAUGGAGAAAGUACCUCAUCCACUCCAAAAUUCAGUGAGGAACUGAAGCUUGCAUCUCAGCUCCGAAAGUUUACAUUCAACGACCUUAAAUUAGCGACUAGGAAUUUCAGGCCAGAGAGUCUUCUUGGGGAGGGUGGUUUUGGUUGUGUCUUUAAAGGGUGGGUCGAGGAGAAUGGAACUGCUCCUGUGAAACCUGGCA